GAGCCCACGGAGCCGACGCCAUGAGCAAGGCACAUCCUCCCGAGUUGAAAAAAUUUAUGGACAAGAAGUUAUCAUUGAAACUAAAUGGUGGCGGACAUGUCCAAGGAAUAUUACGGGGAUUUGACCCCUUUAUGAAUCUUGUGAUAGAUGAAUGUGUGGAGAUGGCAACUAGUGGACAACAGAACAAUACUGGCAUGGUGGUAAUACGAGGAAAUAGUAUUAUCAUGUUAGAAGCCUUGGAACGAGUAUAAAUGACUUUUCAGCAAAGAAGUCCAUGUCUUUUCUCCCAAGGACCUGUUUUACUUUGAUGUAAAAAUUGGGUCAUGUACAUUUUCAUAUUAAACUUUUUGUUAAAUAAACUUUUGUAAUGGUCAAAAAAAAAAAAAAAAAAAAAAGGGGCAGGA